rnacentral:rRNA from 1 species
GAUGAACGCUGGCGGCGUGCCUAUACAUGCAAGUCGAGCGAACGGACGAGAAGCUUGCUUCUCUGAUGUUAGCGGCGGACGGGUGAGUAACACGUGGAUAACCUACCUAUAAGACUGGGAUAACUUCGGGAAACCGGAGCUAAUACCGGAUAAUAUUUUGAACCGCAUGGUUCAAAAGUGAAAGACGGUCUUGCUGUCACUUAUAGAUGGAUCCGCGCUGCAUUAGCUAGUUGGUAAGGUAACGGCUUACCAAGGCAACGAUGCAUAGCCGACCUGAGAGGGUGAUCGGCCACACUGGAACUGAGACACGGUCCAGACUCCUACGGGAGGCAGCAGUAGGGAAUCUUCCGCAAAGGGCGAAAGCCUGACGGAGCAACGCCGCGUGAGUGAUGAAGGUCUUCGGAUCGUAAAACUCUGUUAUUAGGGAAGAACAUAUGUGUAAGUAACUGUGCACAUCUUGACGGUACCUAAUCAGAAAGCCACGGCUAACUACGUG